rnacentral:snoRNA from 1 species
GUGAUGAUGUCAAGAGACUGAAGAGGUGCUGAAGGUCCAAAGCGCUGA